AAUUUCUUUUUAAAUUUUAUGUAAGUAAGUACCUACUAAUUAAGUUUUUAAAAUUCGAUGCUCUUAUGCCUGAUUUACAAUAUUGCGAGAUGACGAGGCGAGAGCGAGACGAGAUUUUUUCUUGGUCAUUUAAAUGGAAAUAGAAGAAUUUUUGUAAAAAGAAGGAUAUUUUAUUUUCAUUUCUUAAGGAAAAUGACUGUUAUCAACUAUAAAAAUUCCACAAAAUAUAUCAACAAUCAACUGAUGAUCCAUUUUUUCCACAACCUCCAGUCAUUACGACUUUUGCGUAGCGCAGGGCUAGUAAUGUAUCAAUGCCGGAGGCAAAAAAAAGAGGCAUGAUUCUUACAUCUUGUCCUGUGUAUGGGAGCUAGAUAAAUCAAUGAUAUAAAAUUUUGUUUUGCAAUUUCUUUUUUCUUUCUAUUUUUUUUUUGUUUGUUUUGCAUUUCCUGCUUAAUUUUUGCUUGUGGAAAAAAUUUUGAAAAGAACAAAAAUAAAAAUUAAACAAAAAUAAUAAAUUUUAUCUGUGCGAUAUUAUUUCCAGAAGAUAUUUACUGCUUUUAAAAUUAAGUGCGAAAAUUAAAACUAA